GACGAACGCUGGCGGCGUGCUUAACACAUGCAAGUCGAACGGAAAGGCCCUGCUUUUGUGGGGUGCUCGAGUGGCGAACGGGUGAGUAACACGUGAGUAACCUGCCCUUGACUUUGGGAUAACUUCAGGAAACUGGGGCUAAUACCGGAUAGGAGCUCCUGCUGCAUGGUGGGGGUUGGAAAGUUUCGGCGGUUGGGGAUGGACUCGCGGCUUAUCAGCUUGUUGGUGGGGUAGUGGCUUACCAAGGCUUUGACGGGUAGCCGGCCUGAGAGGGUGACCGGCCACAUUGGGACUGAGAUACGGCCCAGACUCCUACGGGAGGCAGCAGUGGGGAAUAUUGCACAAUGGGCGGAAGCCUGAUGCAGCAACGCCGCGUGCGGGAUGACGGCCUUCAGGUUGUAAACCGCUUUCGCCUGUGACGAAGCGCGAGUGACGGUAAUGGGUAAAGAAGCACCGGCUAACUACGUG
rnacentral:rRNA from 1 species